GAACUGAAGAGUUUGAUCAUGGCUCAGAUUGAACGCUGGCGGCAGGCCUAACACAUGCAAGUCGAGCGGAUGAAGGGAGCUUGCUCCUGGAUUCAGCGGCGGACGGGUGAGUAAUGCCUAGGAAUCUGCCUGGUAGUGGGGGAUAACGUCCGGAAACGGGCGCUAAUACCGCAUACGUCCUGAGGGAGAAAGUGGGGGAUCUUCGGACCUCACGCUAUCAGAUGAGCCUAGGUCGGAUUAGCUAGUUGGUGGGGUAAAGGCCUACCAAGGCGACGAUCCGUAACUGGUCUGAGAGGAUGAUCAGUCACACUGGAACUGAGACACGGUCCAGACUCCUACGGGAGGCAGCAGUGGGGAAUAUUGGACAAUGGGCGAAAGCCUGAUCCAGCCAUGCCGCGUGUGUGAAGAAGGUCUUCGGAUUGUAAAGCACUUUAAGUUGGGAGGAAGGGCAGUAAGUUAAUACCUUGCUGUUUUGACGUUACCAACAGAAUAAGCACCGGCUAACUUCGUGCCAGCAGCCGCGGUAAUACGAAGGGUGCAAGCGUUAAUCGGAAUUACUGGGCGUAAAGCGCGCGUAGGUGGUUCAGCAAGUUGGAUGUGAAAUCCCCGGGCUCAACCUGGGAACUGCAUCCAAAACUACUGAGCUAGAGUACGGUAGAGGGUGGUGGAAUUUCCUGUGUAGCGGUGAAAUGCGUAGAUAUAGGAAGGAACACCAGUGGCGAAGGCGACCACCUGGACUGAUACUGACACUGAGGUGCGAAAGCGUGGGGGAGCAAACAGGAUUAGAUACCCUGGUAGUCCACGCCGUAAACGAUGUCGACUAGCCGUUGGGAUCCUUGAGAUCUUAGUGGCGCAGCUAACGCGAUAAGUCGACCGCCUGGGGAGUACGGCCGCAAGGUUAAAACUCAAAUGAAUUGACGGGGGCCCGCACAAGCGGUGGAGCAUGUGGUUUAAUUCGAAGCAACGCGAAGAACCUUACCUGGCCUUGACAUGCUGAGAACUUUCCAGAGAUGGAUUGGUGCCUUCGGGAACUCAGACACAGGUGCUGCAUGGCUGUCGUCAGCUCGUGUCGUGAGAUGUUGGGUUAAGUCCCGUAACGAGCGCAACCCUUGUCCUUAGUUACCAGCACCUCGGGUGGGCACUCUAAGGAGACUGCCGGUGACAAACCGGAGGAAGGUGGGGAUGACGUCAAGUCAUCAUGGCCCUUACGGCCAGGGCUACACACGUGCUACAAUGGUCGGUACAAAGGGUUGCCAAGCCGCGAGGUGGAGCUAAUCCCAUAAAACCGAUCGUAGUCCGGAUCGCAGUCUGCAACUCGACUGCGUGAAGUCGGAAUCGCUAGUAAUCGUGAAUCAGAAUGUCACGGUGAAUACGUUCCCGGGCCUUGUACACACCGCCCGUCACACCAUGGGAGUGGGUUGCUCCAGAAGUAGCUAGUCUAACCGCAAGGGGGACGGUUACCACGGAGUGAUUCAUGACUGGGGUGAAGUCGUAACAAGGUAGCCGUAGGGGAACCUGCGGCUGGAUCACCUCCUUA
rnacentral:rRNA from 1 species